AUUGAACGCUGGCGGCAUGCCUUACACAUGCAAGUCGAACGGAUUUUGGGGCUUGCUCCAAAGUUAGUGGCGAACGGGUGAGUAAAGCAUCGGAACGUACCCAGUCGUGGGGGAUAACGUAGCGAAAGUUACGCUAAUACCGCAUACGAUCUGAGGAUGAAAGCGGGGGACCUUCGGGCCUCGCGCGAUUGGAGCGGCCGAUGUCGGAUUAGCUAGUUGGUGAGGUAAAGGCUCACCAAGGCGACGAUCCGUAGCUGGUCUGAGAGGACGACCAGCCACACUGGGACUGAGACACGGCCCAGACUCCUACGGGAGGCAGCAGUGGGGAAUUUUGGACAAUGGGCGAAAGCCUGAUCCAGCCAUGCCGCGUGAGUGAAGAAGGCCUUCGGGUUGUAAAGCUCUUUCAGACGGAAAGAAAUCUCUCGGGUGAAUAUCCCGGGAGGAUGACGGUACCGUAAGAAGAAGCACCGGCUAACUACGUGCCAGCCGCCGCCGUAA
rnacentral:rRNA from 1 species